GACAGAGGUGGCAAGCGUUGUUCGGAUUUAUUGGGGUGUAAAGGGCAGGUAGGUGGUUACGUAAGUUUGGUGUGAAAUCCCAGGGCUCAACCCUGGAACUGCAUUGAAUACUGCGUGACUUGAGUACUGGAGAGGUGAGGGGAAUUCUCGGUGUAAGGGUGAAAUCUGUAGAUAUCGAGAGGAACACCAGUGGCGAAGGCGCCUCACUGGCCGGUUACUGACACUGAGCUGCGAAAGCAAGGGGAGCAAACAGG
rnacentral:rRNA from 1 species